rnacentral:rRNA from 1 species
UACGUAGGGGGCAAGCGUUGUCCGGAUUCAUUGGGCGUAAAGAGCGUGUAGGCGGCCAGGUAGGUCGGUUGUGAAAACUGGAGGCUCAACCUUCAGAGGUCGACCGAAACCAUCUGGCUAGAGUCCGGGAGAGGAGAGUGGAAUUCCCGGUGUAGCGGUGAAAUGCGCAGAUAUCAGGAAGAACACCCGUGGCGAAAGCGGCUCUCUGGAACGGUACUGACGCUGAGACGCGAAAGCGUGGGGAGCGAACAGG